AAUUCAUGCUGAAUCUAGCCCAAGAUCUAUUUUUGGGCAAUAUUUCCUUUUAUCUGGGUCUGAUGGUGUAGCUACACUAAACUAUGUUACAGUGCAGUAAUGACUCAAAUAUUCCUCUCUGUCUUUAGUCUCCUGGAAAAAGUUCUUUGUCAUUUUGGCGGGAAAAACUGAUAAUGCUCAUCUAGAGUUUGUGGCGAAGCUUGAAAGCAUUGGCCAAACUGAGGUGAACUCUCCAGAAGAAAGUGACUACCUUCUGGUUUUCUGUCCUGUUGCUUCAAGAGUUGGAACGGACGUCAGCGGGGCCCUGGAGAAACUUCCAGGUGGUAAACCAGCAAUUCUGGUCGUGAUGCAUCACACCUUCAAUCCUGAACAAGUUGUACCUGAAAGCAGAAGACUGGUGGACAACCCCAAUGUUAAGCUUACUGUGGACUGUCUGUUCUAUGAGGACAAACUCCUGACGUCCAACCGAAAUGAUACUGCAUGGUUUGAUAUCCAGAAGUAUCUUGGACUUUCCAAGGUUAAGUUCUUUGUCAUCUUGGCGGGAAGAACUAAUGAUGCUCAUGUAGAGUUUGUGGCAAAGCUUAAAAGCAUUGGCCAGACUGAGGUGAAGUCUCCAGAAGAAAGUGACUACCUUCUGGUUUUCUGUCCUGUUGCUUCAAGAGUUGGAACGGACGUCAGCGAUGCCCUGGAGAAACUUCCAGGUAGGAAAUGGCUUGGAAGUGCUAAAAUUGCACUGUUAUAAAUGCAGAACAUGGCGUCCAUGUUUGAUGAGUAAUGAAUAGGCAGAUGUUUGCUAACAAGUUCUCCACAUCAACUUUAAAGUUUUAAAAUAAUUCAAUUCAUUUUAAGCCCAUGUUAAAAUCCUGUGAAAAAAAACUUUAAUCAUAAUGCACUUUAAUAUGACAAUAUGUAAUGAUUGCCACAGCUCAGCCAAUAAAAACCAAACGGAUCUCCCCUCUUAUGUUUCACUCAUUUGGUUGUAUUAUCUCUGUGCUUACAGGUGGUAAACCAGUAAUUCUGGUCGUGAUGCAUCACACCUUCAAUCCUGACCAAGUUCUAGCUGAAAGCAGAAGACUGGUGGACAACCCCAAUGUUAAGCUUACUGUGGACUGUCUGUUCUAUGAGGACAAACUCCUGGAGUCCAACCGAAAUUAUACUGCAUGGAUUGAUGUCCAGAAGUAUCUUGGAGUUUCCAAGCAGCCUACCUUGGUAGCCAAAUUCAUGAAUUACAUCAGAAGGAAGUUUGACUUCAAUCAUCAACUUCAGAUUUCAGUGCCCCAGAAAAAGUUCUUUGUCAUCUUGGUGGGAAAAACUAAUGAUGCUCAUCUUGAGUUUUUGGCAAAGCUUGAAAGCAUUGGUCAUACUGAGGUGAACUCUCCAGAAGAAAGUGACUACCUUCUGGUUUUCUGUCCUGUUGCUUCAAGAGUUGGAACAGACGUCAGCGAGGCCCUGGAAAACCUUCCAGGUGAUAAACCAGCAAUUCUGGUCGUGAUGCAUCACACCUUCAACCCUUACCAAGUUCUAGCUGAAAGCAAAAGACUGGUGAACAACCCCAAUGUUAAGCUUACUGUGGACUGUCUGUUCUAUGAGGGCAAACUCCUGACGUCCAACCGAAAUGAUACUGCAUGGAUUGAUGUCCAGAAGUAUCUUGGAGUUUCCAAGGAGUCUACCUUGGGAGCCAUGAAUAACAUCAGUAGGAAGCGUGACAGCAAUCAUGAACUUCAGAUUUCUGGUCAGAUUUUUUGUAGGCUAUCUUCUUCACUUUCCUUCGAAUUAAGGGAUUUUGAUAUUGGUAUUAUUAAUCUAAGGGCGUUUUCACACAUACCUCUUUUGGUCCGGACCUUCGGACUUUUCAGUUUGGUCCGAAUCAAAAUUGUAGGUGAGAAAGGUGCCACGGACCACGGUCCGGANNNNNNNNNNNNNNNNNNNNNNNNNNNNNNNNNNNNNNNNNNNNNNNNNNNNNNNNNNNNNNNNNNNNNNNNNNNNNNNNNNNNNNNNNNNNNNNNNNNNAGUCUUAGCUUUCAUUGGUGCCUUAACUGA
rnacentral:lncRNA from 15 species